GAGGACCUAGAGAGGGUGUACAAGGAUCCCUCCCAUGGCUCAGUGAUUGUGUUUACCACUGGAAGAUUCACCUAUGAAGUCAAUUUGGAAGUCUUGAUCCAGAUAAAUACAAGCUCACACACCCAAAGACUGGUAAGAAGAAGGCCGAUCUUCAAAUCAUCCAGAGAUGUUCAGAGAGUUACUGGCAUAUCUAAUACCAAAACUUCAUCUGUGCCACCUUUCUGGGACCAGUCUCGGUUGCCUGGGAUUGGCUUUGAGAGAGUUAUGUUGCCAAACUCAGCAAAGGAAUACAAAGACAUCAAAGCCCAUUUUGAGAAAACAACAGUGGGGUUUCACAUACUCACCAUCGAGAGAGUGCAAAACCCUAUCCUAUGGAAGUUCUAUGUGCUGCAAAGAGAUCAGAUGGAAUCCUCAGGGACAAGCAUCAAUGAGAAGCAGCUUUUCCAUGGAACUGACUCCAAACAUGUUGACAGCAUUUGCAGAAACAACUUUGACUGGAGGCUAUGUGGAACAAAUGGUACUUCAUUUGGAAAAGGAAGUUACUUUGCCAAGGAUGCUAAGUACUCACACAGCUACACCAGCCAGUCAGGAGUGAGGUCCAUGUUUGUUUGUCAAGUGCUGGUGGGAGACUACACUGUGGGAAACUCCAGCUAUGUGAAACCACCUCCUAAAGAAACCGGAGGAUCCAUCUUCUAUGACAGCUGUGUGGACAACAUCCAAGACCCCAAAGUAUUUGUAGUUUUUGAAAAGUAUCAGGUUUACCCCGAAUACCUCAUACAGUACAGUGAUACUGCUUCUCCACCAAACAGAACACCCCAGACAAAUCCCGUUGUCCAACCAAACAGAACAACCCAGCCAAAUCCCGUUGUCCAACCAAACAGAAUACCCCAGCCAAAUCCCGUUGUCCAACCGAACAGUACUCCCCAGCCAAAUCCCGUUGUCCAACCGAACAGUACUCCCCAGCAAAAUCCCGUUGUCCAACCGAACAGUACUCCCCAGCAAAAUCCCGUUGUCCAACCGAACAGUACUCCCCAGCAAAAUUCUAAUGCCUCAGAUUCAGAAGACCCUGAAUGUAAUUGUUGUUGUUUGUGUUUAGGCUAUAUCUUUUGUUGGCCAUGUGGCAUCUACUUUUAUUUCUGUCACGAUGACGAUUGACCAGGCCUUGAUGUAUACAGGUGCACUCUAGCAAGGCACUUAAGCCCAAUUCCUCCAGGGGUGCUGAUAUGGCUGACCCUGGCUCUGACCCCAUCUUUCUGAGGGUCAGGGUUUCUGUUAGCCGAAAAAUGCCAGCUUUUGGCCGAAAACAAAUGGAAAGCCGAUAAAUAAAAUGGUUGCUGGCCAAAUUGACCAGGAGAAAAAACAAUAGUAGGCAGGCUAUCAGCGGGUCACCCACCACUUUACAAUGUGAGCUGGAGGCAGUAUGCAUUUUGAAAACAUACAAAUUGUUUUAAACCUGAACUUUUUACUUCAUAUUAUGAACCAUGUCUUACCUUGCUUGGAAAUCCGACCAUAGAAAGGUGGACGCAAUUAUUUUAUAAAGACUUCAUAGGCAUCAUGUGAGUCUCAAGUUUGGGGAAGCAUAGGCUUACAAUUUAUCCCACCAUUUCUACUGAUCUGGGUGUCAGUUAUGAUUUUCACAUGUGCAUUUUCAUGGAUCAAUUUAAUUUCAAUAAUAUCGUUUUCCUUUCUCAAAAUCAUUGUCAAGUGGUUAAUAAUGCAAAUCAUAAUUUAAAUGAUCAAAAUAUAAAAGUUAGAAUUCAACUAAUGCUAGAGCACCAGCCUCGCCAUAUUAUGGACACAUUGAUACACCGUGAUCAUUUGAGGAUAAAUAGACUAAAGAAGCACAUAGGACUCAGAGAAUGCCAAUGCAGCCGUUGGCCUUUAAUUUCCAUUUUCAACUAUAGUAAAAAUACAUAAAGCCUACAAAUAAAAACAGUAGAAAAUAUA